UACGUAGGGGGCUAGCGUUGUCCGGAAUCAUUGGGCGUAAAGAGCGUGUAGGCGGCCCGGUAAGUCCGUUGUGAAAGUCAAAGGCUCAACCUUUGAAAGCCGAUGGAUACUGCAGGGCUAGAGUCCGGAAGAGGCGAGUGGAAUUCCUGGUGUAGCGGUGGAAUGCGCAGAUAUCAGGAGGAACACCAAUAGCGAAGGCAGCUCGCUGGGACGGUACUGACGCUAAGGCGCGAAAGCGUGGGGAGCGAACAGG
rnacentral:rRNA from 1 species